UUGAGAGGUAACUGCACAUGUUAAACGUUUGGACGACAUGGGGGUGAACAGCACGGGCUAAUGAUAGUAAUGAUAGAGGGAGAGAGCAUAUCUAAUGCCUGAAGAAGUGCUGUUUUCCAGUCUUGGGCAAUAAUUGUAGGUCUGAGAGCAUCCUCAGCGAAUGUGUAUUGAUCGCUCCACAUGUGGUUUAGUUGUAGCGGGGCAAACAUGAGUAAGGGAGCGAGGAGGAUAUUUGCUCCUCCGACACUCCAGCAGAAGGAUGCGAUAGUGUCACGGCGCGUGGUCGUUUAUGAUAAAAGGGAAUUCCGUAAAAGUGCUUUGGACAGCAAACUAUUACCGGCUUUCGUGCUCAUCGAAACGUUAACGACUGUCGGGAGCAAAUCACAUUUGAAAAAGAAAAAACCGAGAAGAGAAGCGGUGCAAGAUGUUUUCGUGAAAUCAAGUUUGAGCAGAUAUUUUGGAUGAUACAGCCCAGCGGUAAAGUCUCCAUAAUGCUGUGGAUGAAGACAAAAUCGCUUCUUCUUUUUAUUUUUCCAUUGAUUUCAGCCCAGAACGCUGAACUACCUGCAGUAAUGGACAGUGACAUGCUCAGUGAAUUUGCUUACCAACCUGGGCCAUCGUACCUGAGUCUGACCCUGCUGGCUCUGACAGUGGGACUGUCUGGCAGUGUUUACCUCUGCGUGCUGCGGUACAUUUGCACCGGCUGCUGCCAGCCUGUAGUUGUUGGACCUGAAGAUGAGAGCAUGUCAGGAGUGGUGUGAUAGCAGCUUUUGUUUGAAAGCGUGUGUGUAUUCAUGACUGUGAGUUUAGUUUUUGUGCGUGAGCACUUAUGUUGGUCAUCUUGAGUAGUUUGAGCAGACGUUCAUUUUCAGCGCAAGGCUUUGCUGUAUUUAUGAAAGUUAACUAGGAAAAUUGGCACAACUUUCAAUUAUUUCCUUUAUUUUCAAACUAAAACAGCAAUGUUUCAUUCAUAAAUCUCUGAAAAUCCCUGAUUGAAUUGUUGCUGUUUUAUUUGAAAAUAAACGGAAUAGUUGAACAGUGUGCAGUUUUUCUUCGUUUAAUUUCAUGUUGUCUGUUUUGGAUAUGCAUAUUUCCCCCCUUUUGUAUUAUUAUACAUUGGUUGAGAAAAAUCCCUAAAUACAAUGUUUUUAUGUUCCCAUAUUCCCUUAUGAAACACUUAACUAUAAAUAAUUAUUUUUCAUUAUGUAUAUAAAGAGUUUAACUCUUCUUAAGGACAUCAGAAUGUUAAAAGUGUAAGAUGAAAUUUGUAUAAUAAAUUGCUUGUCACUUGUUAGUCACUUGAGAUAAAAGCCUCUGCCAAAUGACUACUUGUAAAUGUGAAAUUCACAGCUCUAAAGCCUGACUGUAUGUUGGCAGUAAAAGCUUUCAUUUAGCAUCUACGGAGUCAGGCAUUUGACUAUACUAAUGACGCAAAUGUUGACUAAAUGAGAGGGAGGAGUAGACCAUUUUAGCAGGCUUUCCAUGCUCGGUCAGUCAAGAGAACUCACUCACAAACCUCUGCUUGCAUUUUUAUGACACAAUCUGCAGUACCACACUCUACUUUAAAGGAAUGUAUAAAGAGCUUUUGUAAAAACAAUUCUGAAGCAAUUUAGAAAUCAAACUUUCACAUAUUUGAGUUAUUUCUUAUGAUCUAUACAGUGAUCCAGAAUCAUUUUUAGAAUAAAUAAAUCCAGUGCAAUUUUCUUUUACACUUAUAAGCGGAAUUUGAACCAUAUAGUGUUAUUUCCAUGUCAACAUCUCUUGUUUAAAUAAGUAGGAUGCUCCCUGAGGAAGUGAUCAGUUGCAGAAACCGUUGCCAAGGGCUACUGCUGGAUCUAGUUGCCAUGGAAAUAGUUGCACCUGUUUUCCUCUAGAUGGGGCUGUCACAUCAGCUGUUCAGAUGGCCUAACUGCAAGAAUCCAAAAUAUCUGCUGGACUAGAUGUUAAUUUUGUAGAUCAGUUUAAUGUUUUGUGUUUUCUAGUGUCAAACAUAUUAAUGUUUAUUGCAAAUGCAUUGUCUUUGUGCAUAUGAAUACCACACCAUUUAUAGGUUCUUAGUAAAUUUAUAGUAAUUUUGUUUUAAUAGUAGUUUUGUCAGUGAUGUAAAAACCUAAAACACCUAUUUAAAAAAACAGGUUUACUUACACAAAUUUUUUGUCUUUGUUAAACAUAACCUAAGAGCUUGCUCUGACAUCUAGUUAGAGUGACAUCAGUUUUUAAAGUAGACUAUAUAUAGCCAUAUGUGACAAAUGAGCUAUUUACAUGUUAGAAUAAGACAUGUUCUCACGCUCCUCCCAAAAGAAGUCAAGGUUUGACACCAUUGUGGUUUUGCUCUUUAAACCAUUUCCUCAUACAGAGAGGUGUGUUUAACUGUUGUACUUCCUUUCUGAAACCUUUACUUUUGCUUACCUCAUUUUUGACACACUUGGUUUGAAUGCUUUAGAGAAGGUCACAGAUCAUCACUUUUUUUUCAAUUCAGGGUUAUGGGACAUAAGUUAAUAUGAUUUCAAUAAUGCAUUUGUUCACUGUAAUACAUUACAUUCUAGUUUGUAUAAAUCUUAUGUGAAAAAAAAUGUGUGAAAUGUUUGUUCAUCUAUUGUGUCUUGUUAUUUGAUUGCAUUUGUUGAAUCUGUUAUAUCACAGUGUAUUGUAAUAUAUUUAUAGUGUCUUUUAAUUCUGUAAUUUUUUAGUUAGUGUUUCAUUAACAGAUCAAAUGGUAUUUUGUGGUAGCCUAUUUUAAACCAAACAACAUCUUCUCACAGCUCUUAAGUGGGCAUUAAACAGAAAAUGAAUCCGUUAAUGGUGAUGGACACUCUUUCUGAUCUUCAUUUUGCUUCAUUUGGGUGUCAUAAUAUGGUGAACAGCACAACACAGUCAGUCAGCCACAAGGGCAAAGUGAUCUGAAAGCUUUGUUGUGCUUCUGAAACAGUUGGACGUCGUUUUCAGAGAGAAACGCAGACAUAGGCACAUAAAAAAGGUUGACUGAGUCAUAAGCUUUUGAAACAUUCUGAACAUAUUUAGAUCAGAAUGCAAUAUUCAAACAUCAAAACUUUUACAGUUCAUUGCAACAUAGGCUAUAAAUUAUUUAAUACUAAUCUAAUACAGUAAUACAUAAUAACCUUCAAAUUCCCUUACGUGAUUAAUAAUUAAUUAAUUUCGAAAUCUGAAUAAUUUUGAAUAUUUAUACAAAUACAAGAAUAUUUCAACUAGUGCGGUCAAGCAAUGAAUCAAUCCAAAAUAAAAGUUUUUAUUUACAUAAUAUAUGUGUGUGUGCUGUGCAUAUUUAUUAUGUAUAUA
rnacentral:lncRNA from 1 species